AUGUCCUGUCAGCGUCCAGAUCCAUCAACAGGCGCAUGGCGGUUACAUCCCUCAGCUGAUGGGGUGUGUGUGUUUAUUUGUUUUUGUUACGGAUUUCUUUGGAGGAGUAAAUAUGAAGAACUGGUAGUGCAGGCUCACCAGCCAAGGCGCACUGUGCCACAUGUGUUCCCGGCCGGAGCCAAUACUCCAGGCGUUUGGGGAGCUUUUAGGGCAGGAUGUUCCCGACGCUCACCUGAGCCCUCACCGGCCCGUCGGGUGAGGCAGGUCUGUGCCCUGGGGCUCCCCCGCCACGUUCAGGCUCUGUGCCCCGCGAUGGCCCCGGCAGGGCUCGCCGGGCCGGGACCCCGUCUGCGGGCCGAGGGAAGCGGCCGCAGGCCGGCGGCAGGACGCGGAGCCGGCGCCGCGGGGCGGGGGAGGCAGUGCGAGGCAGUGCGGAAAGAGUUAAGGGAAGGUGGCGGGGCAGACUGGCUGUCGGGAGCGAGCAUGUGCAGAUUGAAACCGCAUCCAUACUACGGGCGAGUGUCACCGGCACACUUCACCUCCCGCCGGCCGCGGGGCACCCAUGGACACCGGAAGGCUGUCUGGUUGCUGUAUUAGCUGUCGGUCACACGCACCUGGGCUGAAAACAACUGGCAUCUGAAACCCCUUGGACCUGCUGGAGGCAGCCUCAUCUACCUGCGGAUGUUGUGAAUUAGGAGCUGGCCAAAGAGUGGGAGAGCUCCAGUAUCCCUCCCCAGAAAAGGUAAGGUCUGGAGGCUAAAACUGGCUGGACUGCACUUGUAGACCAGAAAAACAGAGCAGUUGUCCGAGUACAGAGCUGACAGCAUUGUAGAUGAGACCUUUGAAGUUUAAGUAUGUAGAGUGCAAAGUUAUUUACAUUGGUUUAAACCUCAAGUUGUUUUCUGGAGGUGUAAGAUUGCUAUUUGCACACAUCACCCUUGAUUUCUGUUGGCUGUGAGUCACAUCAUUCUGAUAGCUUGUAAUUCAUGCAGCCAAACUUUUCAGUGUUAUUGUUUCUUUAAAACCUCACACUCUGGUAGCCUUAGGCAGUUAAAACAAUCAGGACAGUAGAGCAGUAUCUCUGAGCUAAACCAGAGCAGUAGGUAAAGAGCAGAGGGUUGUUCUCUCCUGUGAAAGCACAGGUGUGAGUCGGAUGAUGAGGUAUCUAUUCCUGGCCCUAACAUGCAGUGCAGUCUCUGCACCUGAUUCACCACUGUGUUACUCUACUAAUCUUCUUAGCCUCAUCUUGCCGCUCUCCUGUAUGCUGUGGCAAUCAGUUACACUUCCACAGAGUAUAUGUAAAAUGCUAUCAAUUUGAAAGGGUGAUUUAUAUCCCAGAGCAAAAGUUUAUGUUGAUUCUGGUAUGUGGGGUGGGUUUUGUGGGACCAAAAUGAUUUCCAGACCCUGCAGCAUUUUUGAUAUGUGCUUUGUGUCUGCAGUAUAUGGCAUGGUUCAGUCUACAAUAUUGUUUUCCCUAUUGUGGAUCAGCUUUCCUGGGUAGGUUGUGCACAGUAUCUUAUUUCUAGCUGGGAACUCACUUUGAAUAUGUAGAUACUACAUGUAUAAACUUCAGAUUCAUGUAGUACCAUC
ensembl:lncRNA